AGCAUUGCAUUGGAAAAGGCCACAUCUAUUUGGGGAAGUUUCAGGAAAGCUUUUUAAGAUUGGCUGAUACAGAUUUUCAAACCAUGGCACUGGGGAAAGGCACAAGGCAGACAGCAGCCAGGCAGGAGCACAGUCAGAGAAGUGUAAAAUAUCAAUGUCCAGGAGAAGACAGUCCCAUUUGGCCAAGUGUGGUAAAAAGAAUGUGUAGGAGCAAGAUGGGAGAUAGUGAAGUAUUUUGGGACUACUUCUUAGAUGAGCUGGGCUAGAAAUACAGACACGUGGAUCUCAAAACGGAGUGUGCAGAAGAACCUCCCUCAAGAGCUUUGUAAAGGAGGCACAUUUCUUGGCUCCUUGUGCAGAAAUUCUGGGGAGUGGUCCAGAACUUUACUUUUUUAAUGAGGACUUGACAGUGAUUCCAAAACAGGUGACCUCUGACACAUUUUGGGGAACCAAGCUCCAGAGUCUCAUGACUUGCUGCGGCCCCUUGGACGCUGGGAGCACUUGAAUCUGCAGCACACAGAUAAACUAAAAACGUGUGCUGUCAGCAGAGACUACAGGACGAGGGGUAUGAAGGACUGAAUAUAGCCUUGUCUACGUCCCCAGUGAUGGAACGGAAGAGGUCAUUUUCCUCCUUUCUGUGAUUCUGUAUUCUCACGUCUACAAAGAGGACUUGGUUUCCAGCACCAGCACUGUGUGGCACUAGUACGAUGUGACACGUACUUAAGUUAAUUUGUCUUUGGGGAGUAAAACGAAAUAAAAUUGAACCUAAGAGAUGCAAAAUAAUAUUAAAUCCUGCAAGAUCUUAA